CUGCUGCCUCCCGUAGGAGUUUGGACCGUGUCUCAGUUCCAAUGUGGGGGACCUUCCUCUCAGAACCCCUAUCCAUCGAUGCCUUGGUGGGCCGUUACCCCGCCAACAAGCUAAUGGAACGCAUCCCCAUCGAUGACCGAGAUUCUUUAAUAGUUCUACCAUGCGGAAGAACUAUGCCAUCGGGUAUUAAUCUUUCUUUCGAAAGGCUAUCCCCGAGUCAUGGCAGGUUGGAUACGUGUUACUCACCCGUGCGCCGGUCGCCA
rnacentral:rRNA from 1 species